GUGAAUCAUCGAAUCUUUGAACGCAAAUUGCACUCUCCUCGGUGAGGAUGCCUGUUUGAGGGUCAGCGUAUGAUUAAUCGAAAACGUUGCUGUUUGACGGUGACGUUGGUAGGAAAUUGGGUCAUGUUAGAUCUUUUUGGGUUAAGCGAGUUAAAAUUUUUUUAUUGAUUUUAUGAACGUGUUUUUAAGCUUUAUUUGUUUACACGUGUUAUGUAUUGAUUUUUAUUAGACGUGACUAUCAUAUCGCAUAUAGUCCAUAAUCUUCCUUUACCU
rnacentral:misc_RNA from 1 species